AUUGAACGCUGGCGGCAGGCUUAACACAUGCAAGUCGAGCGGGGUGAUGGUGCUUGCACUAUCACUUAGCGGCGGACGGGUGAGUAAUGCUUAGGAAUCUGCCUAUUAGUGGGGGACAACAUCUCGAAAGGGAUGCUAAUACCGCAUACGUCCUACGGGAGAAAGCAGGGGAUCACUUGUGACCUUGCGCUAAUAGAUGAGCCUAAGUCGGAUUAGCUAGUUGGUGGGGUAAAGGCCUACCAAGGCGACGAUCUGUAGCGGGUCUGAGAGGGAGGUCCCCCACCCUGGGACUGAGACACGGCCCAGACUCCUACGGGAGGCAGCAGUGGGGAGUAUUGGACAAUGGGGGGAACCCUGAUCCAGCCAUGCCGCGUGUGUGAAGAAGGCCUUAUGGUUGUAAAGCACUUUAAGCGAGGAGGAGGCUCUUUUGGUUAAUACCCAAGAUGAGUGGACGUUACUCGCAGAAUAAGCACCGGCUAACUCUGUGCCAGCAGCCGCCGUAA
rnacentral:rRNA from 1 species